GACGAACGCUGGCGGCGUGCUUAACACAUGCAAGUCGAACGGAGUGGCGAACGGGUGAGUAACACGUGGGUGAUCUGCCUUGCACUUCGGGAUAAGCUUGGGAAACUGGGUCUAAUACCGGAUAGUGCAAGAUGAGCUCGCGGCCAAUCAGCUUGUUGGUGGGGUAAUGGCCUACCAAGGCGUCGACGGGUAGCCGGCCUGCGAGGGUGUACGGCCCCAUUGGGACUGGGGUACGGCCCAGAGUCCAACGGGGGGCAGCGGUGGGGAAUAUUGCGCAAUGGGCGGAAGCCUGGUGCAGCGACUCCGCGUGGGGGAUGAAGGCCUUCGGGUUGUAAACUCCUUUCGACAGGGACGCGGUACCUGUAUAAGAAGCACCGGCUAACUACGUGCCAGCCGCCGCGGUAAUUC
rnacentral:rRNA from 1 species